GCGUAUACGCUCUUUUUAAAGAUUUAGCCAUGCAAAUUUAAGUUCAAACAUUUUAAAUGUGAGACUGUGGACGGCUCAGUAAAUCAGUUAUAAUCUGCUCGAUUGUCAAGGUUAUUGGAUAACCGUGGGAAAUCUAGAGCUAAUACAUGCAGAUGUGGGGCAACUCACGGCAUUUAUUAGAACAUUACCGAUUGAACGGGGGUAACAGCUCGUUCAGGUUGAAUCUAGAUAACUAUGCAGACCGUAUGGCCUUGUGCUGACGNCGUUUCGAUUGAGUUUCUGCCUUAUCAGCUUGGCGCGUGCGCAAGGUGCACGUGAGCCGUUGACGAGUAAGGAAAUGUGGGUUUGAUUCCUGAGAGGGAGCCUGAGAAACGGCUACCACAUCCAAGGAAGGCAGCAGGCGCGAAAAUUACUCAAUCCAGACAAUGGGAAGUGGUGACGAAAAGUACCGAAUCUGACCCUAUGGGUCAGAGUUUGGAAUGGACGAUACGUAAAAUCUAUCGAGAACUCAACUAGAGGGCUAGUCUGGUGCCAGCAGCCGCGGUAAUUCCAGCUCUAGUAGCGUAUCGCAAAGUUCUGCNGCCUUAAAACGUUCGUAGUUGGANNNNNNNNNNNNNNNNNNNNNNNNNNNNNNNNNNNNNNNNNNNNNNNNNNNNNNNNNNNNUCAGGCGUAGAAGGAGUCGUUAAUCGGUCCGGUAGCCGCGCGAGUAAUUCACCGAGAUACCUGACCUUAGUCGCGUGGUGGUGUCUGCGGAGUGUGCCUUGAGUAAAUCAGAGUGCUUAAUGCAGCGUUACGCUUGAAUGUUGAUAGCAUGGAACGAACAAUAGUGUAUGGUGUGUGCUGGUCUCGGUGUGCCGUUCCUUGUGAGCGACGCACUGCAGCACACGACACCGACCACCAAGUUACGGAUUGUUGGUUCCGUAUUGGGGUACUGAUUAAGAGGAGCGGUUGGGGGCAUUGGUAUUUGGCAGCGAGAGGUGAAAUUCUUAGACCUGCCAAGGACUAACAAAUGCGAGGCAUCUGUCCAGACCGUAUCCAUUGAUCAAGAGCGAAAGUGCGGGGGUCGAAAGAAAGUCAGAUACCUUCCUAGUCCGCACCCUAAACUAUUCCAACUCGGGAUCAGUUUGGAGCGCGUUCCAAGCUCGAGAUUGGUCCCCCUGGGAAACCUAAAGUUUUUCGGUUGCGGGGGNNGUAUGGUCGCAAGGCUUGAAACCUUAAAGGAAUUGACGGAAGGGCACCACCAGGGGUGGACGUGCGGCUUAAUUUGACUCAACACGGGAAAACUUACCUGGUCCGGACAUUGAAAGGAAUCACUGGCUGAAGCCCAUUGAUAAUACAAUGGCAAGUGGUGCAUGGCCGUUCCUUAGUACGUAGAGUGAUCCGUUUUCCUUCAUUGAUUUAACGUGCGCAAUCUCAGUCUCCAGUUGACGAGUCAGAGAGGACCGUCGGCCCAACUGGUUUCUGGCAACAGGAGCCUCUUUUGUCGGCGUCGAAGGUCAAUGUCGAUAGGAANUUUGGCAGUUGUGCCGGUUACGCUCGAUGUGGCUGUUGGGCUCCAACCGUCGGCAUUCCUCUGGCCUGCAGAGAGCCGCCCGCAAGGGAGGUGCUUUGUAUCCUGGAGAGACGUCGGAACAUAUCCAAAAUCCGAGAAAGUGAGGCUAUAACAGGUCUGUGAUGCCCUUAGAUGUUCAGGGCUGCACGCGCGCUACAAUGCGACGACAGCGAGUGUCUGCAUCGAAAAGAUGUGGGUAAGCUUGUAAUCGUCGCCGUGAAGGGGAUUGAACGUUUGUAAAUACGUCAUGAAAGAGGAAUCCCUAGUAGAUGCGAUUCAUGAGAUCGCAUCGAUUAAGUCCCUGCCCUUUGUA
rnacentral:rRNA from 1 species